rnacentral:rRNA from 1 species
CCUACGGGAGGCUGCAGUGAGGAAUAUUGGUCAAUGGACGGAAGUCUGAACCAGCCAUGCCGCGUGCAGGAAGACGGCCCUAUGAGUUGUAAACUGCUUUUGUACAAGGGUAAACCUGAAUACGUGUAUUCAGCUGAAAGUACUGUACGAAUAAGGAUCGGCUAACUCCGUGCCAGCAGCCGCGGUAAUACGUAGGUGGCAAGCGUUGUCCGGAUUUACUGGGUGUAAAGGGCGUGCAGCCGGAGAGACAAGUCAGAUGUGAAAUCCACGGGCUCAACCCGUGAACUGCAUUUGAAACUGUAUCCCUUGAGUGUGGGAGAGGUAAGCGGAAUGCGUUGUGUAGCGGUGAAAUGCGUAGAUAUAAGGAAGAACACCAGUGGCGAAGGCAGAUUACUGGACGGUAACUGACGGUGAGGCGCGAAAGCGUGGGGAGCAAACAGGAUUAGAUACCCGAGUAGUC